rnacentral:lncRNA from 1 species
AUUUAAGGAUAUGACCCGUGCUCAGCGUGAUAGGUUAUGCUCAAAAUCAAUCAAUAGGUUUAUUGGUUUAUUUAAUCAAUUUUGACUAUCCUAUAACUUUAAAGGAUAGAUCAUGCUCUCUAAGAUAGGUUCUAUCUUUAUUGAUUAGAUACCAAUCUAAGGUAUAUUAAAAAGAGUACCAGCUAUCUAAUAAGAAAGCAGCUG